CAGGAUGUGGCGCAGCCUGAUAGCGCACCUCGCUGAGGGUGAGGAAGUCGUCGGUUCCAAUCCGGCCAUCCCAACCA
rnacentral:tRNA from 1 species